rnacentral:rRNA from 1 species
UUAACGCGAAGAACCUUACCAGGUCUUGACGUCCCCCUGAAUACGGUAGAGAUAUCGUGGGCCUUCGGGACAGGGGAGACAGGUGGUGCAUGGUUGUCGUCAGCUCGUGUCGUGAGAUGUUGGGUUAAGUCCCGCAACGAGCGCAACCCUUGAUCUUUGUUGCCAGCACGUAAUGGUGGGCACUCUAAGAUGACUGCCGGUGACAAACCGGAGGAAGGCGGGGAUGACGUCAAAUCAUCAUGCCCCUUAUGACCUGGGCUACACACGUACUACAAUGGCCGGUACAGAGGGCAGCGAGGCCGCGAGGCGGAGCGAACCUCAGAAAGCCGGUCUCA